rnacentral:lncRNA from 1 species
AUGGAUUUGCAUAUCAAAUGAGGCCAUUUAUAUAUAAUGCAAAUUUCAAAGCUAGUGAAGAGACGACGAAGGCUACGACUUGGAUCUCUUUCCCUAAUUUGUUGCCAACUUUCUUUGUGAAGGAAGUAUUGUUCUCUCUUGCGUCUGUGGUUGGGAAACCCCUUCAGUUAGACCUGGCAACAAUAAAUAAGCCGCGUCCAAGUUGUGCAAGGGUGAAGGUCCAAGUGGAUUUGCUAGCUGAAAAACCUGAAUUUGUGCAGAUGCAGUUAGAUGAUGAGAACACUUUUGAGAAUAGAGUUGUUACAGUAAAAAUUCAGUAUGAUUCAUAACCAGCUUAUUGCAAAAAAUGUAAAUUACAGGGUCAUGGUGAAGACGAUUGCAGGAUACUUCAUCCAGAGUUGGUGCAACAAUAUGAGGACAAACAAAAAGCAAUACAACCAGUAUAUGAGAUGCAUUCUUACAAAGGAGCUGUAACGAGAAAAUGGAAGACUACUAAUAAAAAUUUUACAAAGAAUGCUGGAGAAUUAAUGAAUACUAAGGUUCAAGAGAGUGAGGGGACCCUCAAAAAUUCUUUUGAGGUGGUUGAUCAACCAAUAAUGAGAGAGGUGGAAAAUCAGUCAUAUUCUUCAAGGAGGAGUGGAGGGAGUAAGGAGUGAAUCUACUCAUGAGCCUAUUAAAGCUGGAGGUAAAAUGGAGGUUACAGUAGUAGAAGGUGGGGACAGUCAUGGAAGUGACAAGGGGCCUUUGGUAUAAAUGGAAGAUGCUAUAGUGAUUAAUGCAGGGGUCAAUGAUGAAGUGAAUUUGGAGAUAGUGAGGAUAGAAGAAAUAAUGCUGAGUUAGCUCAUCAACAGUUGCCCAGCGAGCAACUGGAAAGUUGCCUAGUUCAUGCUUCUUUUCAAAUUCCCCUAAAAAAAUUGGAUCCAAAAGAGGAGAGGUUUCCACCUCAUUUGCAGGGGUCUGUAAUAUUGACAAGGAAGGAGAAGGAACACAAAAAUCAGGAUAUGAAAAUAGUUUAUUUUAAAUCACAACAUGUUCAAACCUUACAUGAGAUGGUGUCACACUAAGGGGCAGUGGAGGGUCAAGAAAUGGUUAACAGUAAUGUAACAGAAAAGAGUGAAGAAGAAGAAGUUUUGCAGAUUACCUUUCAAGAAACAGGGAUCUCACAUUCAUCAUCAAUAACACUUAGAUGCAAAAGUAAAAGGGAAGCAUUACCUACAAGAUCAAAUCCUAGAAGGGGGACCAGGAAUGGGUCUAAAUGAUGAUAAAGACUUUGUUUUGGAAUGUGAGGUCUAUUAGAUCUCAAAAUUCAUUCCAUAGAAUUCAAAUGUUACACAGAUUUCACAAGUUUUCUAUCAUUGCUUUGAUGGAGCCUUUUCAAGAUAUUAAUAAUAUACAAAGAUUCAAAAUGAGACUGGGCAUGGAGUAUGUUAAUUAUAACUGUAAUGGCAAAAUUUGGAUAUUCAUUAAAGAGCAUAUUCAGGUGAAAGUGAUGGCUGAUACAGAACAGUUAUGGACUCUCAGAUUAAUUUUCCAGGAAACCAAUAUUCCAUUGAUUGUUUCUAUAGUUUAUGCCAAGUGUUGAUGCUGAGGUAAGGGUUCAAUUAUGGAAUGAGAUUUAUUAUAUUAGUAAUGCUAAUCAAAAUGCUCCUUGGUUGAUUGGGGGUGAUUUUAAUGUCAUUAUGAGUGAAGAGGAGAAGAUUGGUGGCUUGCCCGUAUAUCCUAAUGAGUAUGAGGAUUUUGCAUUUUGUGUAAAUUCUUGUGACUUGGUGGAAGUUAAUUAUAAAGGGAGCCCUUUUACAUGGUGGAAUGGGAGGAUUGAUAACCAGUGUAUAUUCAAAAGGCUGGAUAGAUACAUGAUGAAUAAUGACUUUAUGGGAGUCUUUGGGAUGCUAGAAGUAGAACAUUUGGCAAGAACAAUGUCUGAUCAUGCUCCUAUGUUACUCUCUUGUGGACAGAAGAAUAAUGUUCCUAGAAGACCUUUCAGGUUCCUUAAAUUUUGGACUGAAAGAUCAUAUUUCCAUCAAGUAGUGAAGGACAGUUGGGUUUCUGAAGAGGUUGAUGUGUUUAUAAAUUUGAAACAAAAGCUGAAAAAUACCAAAGCUGCCUUGUCUAGUUGGAGUAGAAUGACUUUUGGUGACAUUUUCAAAUAAGUUGUUAUCAGGGAGGAGAUUGUAAUGGUGAAUGAGCAAUUAUUUGAAGAAGCCCCCACUGCAGAUAAUAGAAGAACUCUACAUCAGGCUUAUGCAGAAUUAAAGAAAUAUGUACAUUUUGAGGAAGAGUAUUGGAGACAGAAAGCUGGAAUUCAAUGGUUUAUUGAAGGGGACAAAAAUACUAGAUUUUUUCACAGAUUGGUGAGAGGUAGAAGGAAAAGAAUGAGCUUCAACAAAAUUCAAAACAUAGACGGUGAAUGGAUGGAAGGGGAAGAACAGGUGGCAACACCUGCUCAGGAAUUUUUCAAGAAUCAAUUUACAGGCAACUAUAUUAUGGGGGAAAUCCCAAUAUUGAGAUAUGUUCAGAAGAGUGUUACUGAUGAUGGCAACUGCAAGUUAAAUGCACACCCUACUAAGGAUGAAAUUAAAAAAAAAAAAUGUUUGCUCUCAAUGGGGACAGUGCUAGUGGCCCUGAUGGGUUCACUGGUCAUUUUUAUCAACUAUGCUGGGAUAUUGUUGGUGAUGAUGUGGUUAAAGUAGUUGAUGCUUUCUUUUCAGGUGCUACACUUCCUAAGUCUAUUACUCAUACUAACCUGGUUUUAUUGCCUAAGAAAGAUGAUAUUCAAUCUUUUUCAGAUUUACGACUAAUUAGCCUGAGUAGUUUUCUUAACGAAGUAAUUUCAAAGGUGAUGAAUGAUAGAAUUGGAGUUCUCCUUCCCUCUUUGAUUUCACAAAACCAAUCAUUGAUUUUGUGAAAGGAAGAAGUAUAACAGAAAAUGUUUUGCUUGCUCAGGAGAUUAUUUUUUAUAUUGGUAAGAGAGGUAAACCUGCAAAUGUGGUGAUUAAGUUAGAUAUGGCAAAGACUUAUGAUAGAGUGGAGUGGAUUUUUUUGAUAAAGGUGUUGGAGAGAUUAGGUUUUGAUUCUGGUGUUAUGGAUAAAGUUUAGAGACUGGUUGCUAACAACUGGUACUCUAUUCUUAUAAAUGAGCAGGCUACUGGCUUUUUUCACUCAACUAGGGGAGUGAAGCAAGGGGACCCUCUAUCCCCUGCCUUGUUCAUUCUAACUGUUGAAGUUCUCUCUAGAAGCUUAAAUGCUUUGUGUUACAAUGAGGUCUACAAGGGUUAUGAAUUACCAAAAUGGAGUGAUAAUAUUAAUCAUCUUUCUUAUGCAUAUGAUGCUAUUAUUUUUACUUCAGCAUAUGGUACAUCUUUAGAGUUAUUGAUGACAACUCUGAGGGAUUAUGAGAAACAAUCAGGGCAGAUGAUUAAUAUACAAAAGAGCUCAUUCUUUGUUUUUCACAAUAUGGCAAAUGACUUGGUUUCUGACAUUGAAAUGAAGAUUGUUUUUUCUAGAUGGAGUUUUCCAAUUAUGUAUUUGGGUUGUCCCAUUGGUUAUGCCAAGAAGAAAAAAACACACUUUGCAGAAUUGAUGAAAAAUGUGCAUAACAAGCUUCAAGCUUGGAAAGGAAAGUUGUUAUCAUUUGGAGGUAAGGCUGUUCUAAUUCAAAAUGUGUUAAACAACAUCCAUUUAUAUAUCUCUUGUCUGCUAUUAUUCCUCCAAAAUGUGUUAUGCAUGAUUUGCAUAGAGUUUUUGCUAAUUUUUUUUUGGAGAUUUAGGGAUGUGGGCAGUAACAAGCACUGGGUGGUUUGGUCAGAGUUGUGUAAACCCAAGGAAGAAGGGGGUUUGGGAUUUAAAUCUCUUUUUGAUGUUUCUAGUUCCUUAAUUGCAAAACUAUGAUGGAUAUUUAGAACUCAGAAGUCUUUGUGGUCUAAUUUUAUAUGGAAUAAAUACUGUAAAAAGAGAGACCUGAAAUGGUGGAAUGGAAAAGGGGUUCUUUAACUUGGAAGUAUAUGCUGGAUGCUAGAGAUUUGAUUGAUCAACAUAUUUGGUGGGAACCAAAAUGUGGACAUUCAAGUAUUUGGUAUGAUAAUUGGUCACAAUUAGGGGCACUUCAUUACAUUAUGCCUAUUGACUCUGCUAGAAAUGUACAAUUGGAAGAGGUCAAACAGUGCUUUUUGAAUGGAGAGUGGAAUUCUAAUUUAUUGCAAUUAAGUUUUGGGGAAAAUUUCAGUAGACAUAUAAGUCAACUUCUUAGGAAUUCUGAGGACGAGGUGCAUUGGGAUAAACCUUGGUGGAUGUUGAAUGCUACUGGAAAGUUCACAAUUGGUUCUGCUUGGGAGUUUCUAAGGGAGAAAAAUGAAGCAUGUCUGAACUACAAACAUAUUUGGAUUGCAGGAAUUCCUUUUAAGGUUUCAUUCCUUACUUGGAGAAUAUGGCAACACAGGUUUCCAAUUGGUGAAGUUCCUGUUAGAAAUAGAAUGUGUGAUGGGGUGGAAUGUGAAUGCUGUGCAGAUGGAGCUCAUGAGACUAUUGAACAUUUAUUUAUUAGAUGUUCAGAUACUAAUUCAAUAUGGACAUACUUUGCAGGUACAAUAGGAGUGGAGGGUCCUUUUAUUCAUUUGAAAGACACUGUGUAUAAAUGGUGGAAUGCAAAAUGUUCUGUAGAACUUAAACCUCUGAUAAUGGCUAUUUCAAUGUUUAUUUUUUGGCAAGUAUGGAAAAGAAGAAAGGUUAAGAAGUUUGGUGGUUGUAUGUCUUAUAUGAGCAUAAGGGGAGGGAUUUGCAGUAAUUUAAUACUAUUGGCUAAGCAGAGAUAUCCAUGGAUGCAUAAUAUGCCCAAUAAUUGGCCUGAAAUUGUACGAUUCUUGACUGAAUAUAGUCCUACGGUAGGCUGUAAAGUGGUUUACUGAAAGUUACAUAUGCAAAAUUACUUUAAGUGCAAUACAGAUGAAGCUUCCAAAGGCAACCCUGGAUCAAGCUCUUCUGCUUUCUGUGCUAGAGAUGAUCAAGACAAUCUAGUAUAUGCUGAAGGAAAAAGGAUUGGAGUGUCAAACAAUUUAAAAGCUGAAAUAGUAGCUAUGAGACUAGGACUGGAAUAUUGUAGGAUUCACAGUCUAUUUCCUUUGGUUCUGGAAACAAAUUCAUCAGUUGUUAAAAAGAUGGUAGAAGGAGAAUGGUACUUUCCUUGGGAGGUGUCACUUGAGAUUAACAGAAUACGAGUUCUUAAGGAAGGAUUGGACGUGGCCAUUGAACACACAUUGCGAGAAGGGAACAAGCUGGCAGAUUUUAUGGCUAACAUUGUGUUUUCUUUUGCAGGUACAAAUUUCAUUAGUUAUAAUAAUUUUCAAGCAUUACCUAGGGAAGCUAAGGCAUUAUUAAACAUGGACAAAAGUCAGAUUCCUAAUCUAAGGGUUACUAUGCUGGAAAAUGGAAAUUUUUCACAUAAUGGAUGAACCAAUAUCAACAGUCUGGUUACAGUGGUAUAUGAUACCAAAAAUCAAGACAUUGCAAACACAUGUUGGAAUUUAAAGGUUAAGCUAAUAACACAAACAGAGUCACGCAACAACAGUAGCACAGAAUCACAGAUUACCUGAAGGAGAUCAUUGUAGCUUUGUCCUAAAGUUGUAGUCAGUGGUAUUAGCUCCUUGUUGAGCUCAAUCUGACACAACUAAGGGAUGAAACAUACGAGGGUCGAAAUCAGGUAAAAUUAACAGUGAAAAUAGAAUAUGAAAGUGAGGGAGUGUCGCCACCUGACCUGAACGUCAAUUGAAUAUCGUUGAGUUGGAGAAGUCUUCGGUUGGGAUGAUUUCAUGAUGUUAGUGAGACUUGUUAACGUCUGAUAUGAAAUACACCCAUAGCUUGAUGUACCAAUUUAGUUGUUCCAGGUUCAUGGCGAUGGGAUAAAGCUUUCAAUUGCAAUGGGAACUGCAGCUAGGGCUAUUCUGGAGAAGAAGACCCGUCCCUUUCCCUUUCC